rnacentral:rRNA from 1 species
AUGUGCUUCUCCCUCCCUUGCCCCGAAGACCCCUUCAACGAGCGCCAUGGCAAGAAGCACAAGACCGAAGACGCCACCGACACCAACGACGACCACAAGAAGAAAAGCAAGGGUUCCAAGAAGCAGGAGCGGGCCGGCGCGGGAGACUCCUCCACCGGCGCGGCGGUGCUGGGGGCGGUGGCGGCGAGGAGGGGGUGCCACGAGUGGGUGGUGGACCACUACAGCAACCCGCACAACGUGGGGGCGUUCGACAAGGACGACGCCGACGUCGGCACCGGCCUCGUCCACGCGCCCGCCUGCGGGGACAUCGUGAAGAUGCAGAUCCGCAUCGACCAGACCUUCGGCAGGAUCGUCAACGCCUGCUUCAAGACCUUUGGCUGCGGCUUCGCCAUCGCAUCCUCCUUCGUCGGUGAGCAAGCAUACCGCCCCCUCGGUUUCCUUCCUCCGCUAGCAGCUAGUCUUCUUUAUAUUUUUGUCACAUGUGCUUGUGUUCAUGUUCUUUAG